CCUGAGGGCAAGGGGGCAGGGUUAAGGGCAGAGGUGGUGUUAUGGAGUCAGCUUGUAAGUAGAGAUCAUUUAGAAGAUAAAACAUUUUGAAAGCAACAGUAAAAAUUUGAAUAAUUGGAAUAAAACGUUUAAUCUUAAUCUCUGCCUUCUCACACUCUUUUUCUGCUGAUGAACUGGUCAUGUGGUCAUCAGGUACUAUUUUGAAAAUGUAGACUCCUUCCAAAAAGAAAAUGAAUAUCAGCCCCACACUCAGAAGCAGCACCUGGUGUCUCAGGUGUUUAGUGCUGACAGUGGCCUGGACUGCCCGGGUUGCCGUCCCCGCCCGAGGGCCUCCCUGGCAGGUGAAGUGUUAGUGGUCCUGUCCCCAGCGCCUUCGUCCCUACACGAAGGCGGCUUUUCCAUGGGAACAGGGGCACACCCUUGGUGGGCGGCUGGGCCGUUUCCCCAUCAGUGACGAUGUGCGAGAUCAGCAAACCUCCAGGAGACGGAGACACGGGUUAGACGCUUCCCCUCUGCAGGCUGUAGUGGCCACGGGUGCACCUGCAUCGGCACGUGGGCAGCUCCCCACUCCCACGGGGGAGGCCGGGCAGUGAGAGCCAGGGCCCACUGCACAGCUGCUGGAUGCCCAUGGUGUCAUUUUGCCAUCACAGGGGCACAGCCUGGAGCCUGGCACAGGUGUCCUGGGGGCCAGGAGCCAGGAGCCCGUGUCCUGUAGGACUUGGUGAGUUGUCCCAGCUGUGGCCUUGCCAUUCCUGUGUCCAGUACCGUGCUCCCGUGUGGCGCUCCCAUGCCGCUCUGCUUCCCUUUGCACCUGCCGAGGUGGCAGCCUGUGCUGCUGGGAUGAUGUCUGCUCUCAUUCUUUGCCCAAUGGAGCACUUAGUUUUCAGUAUUUUUACUUGUAAAGAGUUUUACAUAAUAAGUGACUAAAGCGUUGACGUAUCCAUUACCAAGGAUUUUUCCUGACUUGUCACUUGCCUUCUAAUUGCAUUCAUUUUCCCCUUUUGAUGUAACAUUGUAAAACCUAAAAUUUUAAAUCAGAAACAGACAUCCAAAUUUAAAAGCCAAGAAUCAUUUGUGCCAUUGAGGUCAUCCUUGGAAAUUCUCUCACACCAAAAGUAUUUCCAUUUUUAUCUGUUUUCCUUUGAGUACAUUUCAGUAUUCAUUGACUGGAAGUUUAUUUUCAGUUGUGUUAUGAAGUAAGGGUCCAACGUGAUUAGCCUAAUGGUGCAAGGCAUGGAUCCAACAUGGUCGGCCCAUUGGUAUGAGGUAGGGAUCCAACAUGGUCGGCCCGUUGGUGUGAGGUAGGGAUGCAACACGGUCGGCCGGUUGGUGUGAGGUAGGGAUCUGUUGUGGUUAGCCCAUUGAACAUAUAUUGGCCUGAUGCUACCUGUUUGAAUGCAGAGUCACAUAUGUUCCUGUUUCUAUUUCUGUAGUUUUGGGCUAUCGUUUCCCAUGUCAGCUUCUGUAGUUUUCAUGAUUCUAGUUUUCAUCCUUCUAAUACCUGUGGAAAAGAAUAAAGAUUUUUUUUGUCAAAAAUGUUCUAGGUAUAUAAGCUUUGGUAUUAUUUCAAGCCUGGGCCUCCUCCCAGCCCCAAAUUAAAAAACAAAAACAAAAAAAAAACCAGUUAUUUGGAAUUUGAAGCUUUUGUUAACCUGUAGAUGACACCAGGAGAAUCUAUAAGAAGUAGUCUUUCCAUCUAAGAUUCUUUCUUCUUGUUGUUUAAAUAAAAAGCUAUCUGGCUUUUGUACAUUUUGGUUACCUUAUUAAAACCUUAUUUAAUUAUUACAGUCUU
rnacentral:lncRNA from 1 species